GUGCCGUUUUCCAUUCCUCUCCACUACAAGCGCCCGCGGGGUCCCCCACCUGUACGGAAUAUCUGCUGUUUGCAGUUGAUUGGUCACCUCCUUUAAUGUGGCACGCCACUGCAGUGUGAACCUGCUGAGGUCUUGAAAAAAGCACAGUGGAUGCUGUUCAAAAUUGAAUGGAGACUGGCCUUUGACUUGUGCCAUAAAUGUGUCCUUAUCAGUUCAUGACCGAAAACAAAUUAUGAC